AUACGUAGGUGGCAAGCGUUGUCCGGAAUUAUUGGGCGUAAAGCGCAUGUAGGCGGUGCCUUAAGUCUGUCGUGAAACUGCGGGGCCUAACCCCGUAUGGCGAUGGAAACUGGGGUACUUGAGUGCAGGAGAGGAAAGGGGAACUCCCAGUGUAGCGGUGAAAUGCGUAGAUAUUGGGAAGAACACCGGUGGCGAAGGCGCCUUUCUGGACUGUGUCUGACGCUGGGAUGCGAAAUCCAGGGUAGCGAACGGGAUUAGAUGCCCCGGUAGUCCUGACCGUAAACGAUGGGUACUAGGUGUGGGAGGUAUCGACCCCUUCCGUGCCGGAGUUAACGCAAUAAGUACCCCGCCUGGGGAGUACGGCCGCAAGGCUUAAACUCAAAGGAAUUGACGGGG
rnacentral:rRNA from 1 species